CCGGCCUACGCCAGAGCCACAGCAACGCAGGAUCCGAGCCGCGUCUGCAACCUACACCACAGCUCACGGCAACGCCGGAUCGUUAACCCACUGAGCAAGGGCAGGGAUCGAACCCGCAACCUCAUGGUUCCUAGUCGGAUUCGUUAACCACUGCGCCACGACGGGAACUACUAGUCUUCUUUCUUAACCAUUCCCAUAGCACCCUUUGUGCCCCAGUGGAACAGAGCUGCUUAUAAAUCCUGCUAAGCUCACUCGUGCAUCUAAAGCUUUUCAUGGCUGUUCUUCUUGUAGGACAGAUAAUCCUAACAGAUGGUUCUCCUACCAAACACUGGCCUUCUGCCUCUCUAGCUGCCCAAUUUCUCCUCAUUCUGCAUGCUUACCUUAAAGACCACCCACUAUUUAAAAACUUGUUUCCUAACCAUGGUCUUAAAAUAGCUGGUACUUAUCUAACACCAAUAAAAACAAUGGAAAAAUCUGGACAGUGAUCAACUCCAGGUAGCUUUGGGAAACAGUUAUCAUAGAUCAAGUCUGGUAAAGAAUAAACGUGGCAAUGAUACGAACAAGGUUUUGGAGAGCAGGGUUUCAAAUGAUUGCAUUCAAGAGCAUCAGAAUAGUGCUUAAUACCUGCUAGACACUUGACAGAUAUUUGUUAAGGGAACAAUUAGCAAAGAAAUAAAAAUGUUUUCUUUGAAAAUCCUGCCUAGAAAAAUACAGACAUUAAGCAGGGACAACUCUAUGAUCAGCAACUUGAAGGACAACCACCAUCUUUCUAUCUCCAAUAACUUGUAACAUCAGCAUGUGGAAGUUCGUUGAUUGACAGAGGAAUACUAAGGUGUCCUCAUACAGUUCAGAUGGCACCCUGUGCCAGGUGCUACAUCCAGGGAAUGGUAGUGCUUUUGACCACAUGAGGUAUUUUUCUGCUUUUUUUUAAGAUUUGGAUGAGUCCCAAGUUGGGCUACUUGAGGAACUGUUAGGAUAAUCCUUUAACGAAUGGCAAAGAAGAAUCUUGUUCACACAAAAUUACAGUGUCAUGACAUUUAUCCAACAAACAGAAGAAAAUAUCUGGUUCCAAUGAAGUCAUUCCAUCUCACUCUCUUUGGACUUGUGAGGAAUGAAGUUGGUAAAAGCGAGACCUCUUGGCUGGGUGUAACAAUAUGCAAAAUAACCAGCACUUCUUGGCCAGGCAUUGCUUUUCCGACUUCUGUAUUAUUAGCAGGUAGCUUUAAAAAAUAAUAUCUUAUUGGUAUGCUGAGCACUGGCUCAGUUCUGCAGUUCUUGUUUUUUGUCAUUUGUUUCUAGUACCAGGAAUCAACUGCUAAGUUCCCAGUUUUAAAGAAGGUAACUUUUUUUGUUGUGAGCCACACGGGAAGUCCAAGAAGGUAACUUUUGUACGGAGACUAAUCACCAUGCGAUGACUAGUACUCAUCUAUGAAACGCAAUCUGUGUGUUGUAAAAAAGUAAAGGGCCAUUUUUAUAACAAGACCGACUUGUUAUGAUGUGAUUAUACAGCAAAUGUAACACACUAACAUAGAAUUCUUUUUUAUUUAGCAGCAGCUUGGGUCACUGCAGAGGUGCAGACUCAACUUGAGGCCUGGCACACUGGGUUAUCGAGUCUGGCAUUUCUGCAGCUCCAGCUUUGUUUCAAUCCCUGGGCCAGAUAUAGCCAUUAAAAAAAGAAAAAGAGUUCCUGUCGUGGUUCAGCGGUUAACGAAUCCGACUAGGAACCAUGAGGUUGCGGGUUCAUUCCCUGGCCUUGCUCAGUGGGUUAAGAAUCCAGCACUGCCAUGAGCUGUGGUGUAGGUUGCAGUCGCAGCUCGGAUCCCAUGCUGCUGUGGUUCUGGCGAAGGCUGGUGGCUACAGCUCCGAUUGGACCCCUAGACUGGGAACAUCUAUAUGCUGCGGAAGCGGCCUUAGAACAGGCAAAAAAAGAAAAGGAGUUUCCCUUGUGGCUCAGCAGGCUAAGGACCCAAUGUUGUCUCUGUGAGGAUGUGAGUUCCAUCCCUAGACUCACUCAGUGGGUUAUGGAUCAGGUUAUGGACCUAAGCUGUAGCAUAGGUCACAGAUGUGCUCAGAUCCAGUAUUUCUGUGGCUGUGGUGUGGGCCAGAAGCUUCAGCUCUGAUUUGAACCCUAGCCUGGGAACAUCCUUAUGCUUCAGGUGUGGCCUUCAAAGAAACAAACAAACAAAAAAACCAUUUUUCUUAUUUACAGGAUUUUAAGCUCCAUAGCUAAAUGCAUUCAUUUCUUUUCAAUAACACUGUCUCUGAUAUUAAAUUAUGUAAAUUGAUUUCUUAAACAAUUCUGGAUGCUAAAUUAUUAAGAAUUUAAUUAACUAAAAAAGUCCAGAAGCAAUUUACACAAGGUUCUUUUCAUUGCUCUUUCAUUCUCAUAAUGUCCUCACUCUUACUUUCUCUAUGGUAAGAUCACUAAAAGUAAUUCCCUAUCAGCAGUCUUACCUAGGUUACUAUCUUGAGCAGGAGUUUUAGGUCCCAUUUCUCGUUUAUACUCCAAAAUCAUGUGGUGAUUCCUAUGUACAAAAGAAUAUGGUAAAUAGCAUUACUAUUUAAUAUUCAUGUAAAAACCAGUUACCAUAUAUAUUAAAUUCUUUGAUGUCUGACAAUACCAGAGCUAAUGUGAAAACUUCAGCUGUCCCAUAUACUUCAAAUUUGUAUGUUUUACAAGUAUUUUACUUAGCAUCUAAUUACAGAAGUAAAAUAAAGCACGGUGAAGUAGUCAUUGAAUUGAGGGCAGGAAAGUGCAAUAAAUUAACUAGGGAAAGCUUGAUACAUGGAAAGUAUCUGCAGCUGAGAAAUCCUAGCUCUGUAACUAACUGUUAUUUUUUCCUGGAAAAGUUGCAUCUCUUCAGCUCAACGUCUUCUUCUAUGACACUGGAGUCUCACUGCCUCGAUUCACAAGGGCAUUGGGAGGAUCUGAGGAGAUAAUAGAUCCCCAAAAACGUCAUAGAGAGACCGAAAGAAUAGAAUCAUUCCUUCUUGAACUUUAUCACUAGAGGUAUAUUGGAACCCCAAAGAAAACCCAAUGUGUGUUUUUUCAUAGGUAUAAUAGUCCAACAUUGCAGGUUUCAGGGGAAAAAAAUGUUUCUAAUUAUGGUGAUUAGCUGUUCUCUCUUUGUGGUUUGCCAUUUAGGGAUCUCAGCUAUGAGAUCAUUUGUAAGUGAAUUUAUCUAUAAAUAUAUGGCCUCAUUAAAUUAGAGAACAUCCUGGUCCCCCAUUAUUGUAGCUAAUCGCACCAAGAGCAGAAACCUAACAGAAGUCAGGACCUGGCUUGGACCACUACUGUUUCCUUCUCUAUCUGCUCAAACUCUGAACCAGCAGGUCUGUAUUAGAAGGAUGCUUCAGCUCCAUGGUCAUCUCCAAUUUACAUGGAAGACAUAACCCUACUUGUAGGCUGGGCACUGAUGAGUCAUGGCCAGGGCUUCCCUCUGCUAAUGUCCACUAACCUACUCAAGAUUCAGUGAUUUCUGGUGAAUGGCAUCUUUAGGAAUGAGAAUCUGAAAGUAUGUUGAAGGUUGACACCUACGGAAAGCAUCUGGAAGAUUUUGAGGACAGUGGAAAACAUGACUGGAGGGGCCGAGCUUAACUAUGGACUCUCAGGCCAGCUGGCACCUACUAGUCUGGGAAGGAUGGCAUGGGGCCUUCCACAACCUAAGAUGCUCCACAGGAUAGAAUGCAGCCUUAAGGUUCAUGUCUGGUACUAAAGGAGAAAGCAAAGUCUGAUCUCUCCCUGCAGCAUCACUGGAAUCUCUCUGACAGCCUAAAUGGUUCCCACUAACAUCUGCUAGGAGAAGAGACAAUCAAAAGCCUCCAAGAAUAGCUCCUUGUGAAGAUCUGGGCUACGAUGUGCACUCCACAUAAAGCUUGGGCAGCAGGGUGCGGGGUGUGCAUGGUUAAAGGUAGGAGGCCGAGCUGCCAGACUUGGUGCUAAUGCUGUGGAGCAGUGGCUGAGCCAUAAGCCUAUGUGAGAGGAAUGAAAAUGGUGUCACUAUCCAGGCUAAGGGUGAGUCACCAUGAAGACAGAGGAACCAGGAUAAACAAGGGCAUCCUGGGAGAAGAGAUCCAUCAUGACCUUACUGCAGGACAACUUUCUUUUUCCUUUUCCAUUAAAAUGAUUUUAAUUAAGGUCUUUACAGGAGUUUCCAUCGUGGCACGGUGGUUAACAAAUCCGACUAGGAACCAUGAGGCUGCAGGUUUGAUCCCUGGCCUUGCUCAGUGGGUGAAGGAUCCAGAAGGAUCCGGCAUUGCCGUGAGCUGUGGUGUAGUUCGCAGAUGCGGCUCGGAUCCCACAUUGCUGUGGCUCUGGCAAAGGCUGGUGGCUACAGCUCCGAUUCGACCCCUAGCCUGGGAACCUCCAUAUGCCGCAGGAGCAGCCCUAGAAAAGGCAAGAAGACAAAAAAAGGUCUUUACAGAACAUCCAGACUCCAGAGUUUCAGCUGCCAAGGAGACCCUGUGUAGGCCAGUUUUCAUAGCAAUGCUGCAGCAAUGGAAUCAAUGGAAACAAUGGAAUGAUUGGAACAUCACUUUUUCCCUCCUAAUGACUGUGGAUGAGGACUGUCUCCUUCAUCUCAGGGAAUCACUUAGGUUCUUGGAAAAGUCAAGUGGGAGAGUAGAGAAGGAAAUCCCCAAGAAAACCAAAAAAUAGGAUUUUCUGUUUAAACUGAACACUUCAGACCCAGAUAGCUAGUUCAAAAAAUCAGAGAUGGGACACACUUUGUCCUCCACACAUAGGGGUUACACUUGGAAUGAAACAGACAAUGUUAGCAUCCUAAGGAUCAGCACUGGAAAUAAGAAUCCUGUGCCCAGGCCACAUCAAACUAGUCUGGCCUUUGGCCUGGUGUCCAGCUGAUGAUGGGGAGUACUUCCCAGGUAUUCCCAAGCCACCUGCAUCAAACUGAAUUCUCACCUGUCACAUAACAAGGAACUGGCAAGUGAUUUGUCACUUCAGUUUAGGGAUAUAAAUGGUAAUUUAAUGCAAACACUUACAUAUGAUGACCCUUGAUAACAGCAUAGUCUUCUGCAUUCCGUCCAUAGCGAUCUUGAGGAGAGAUAUCAACGCCUUGCUCAAGAAGCAGCCUGACUACACUUGAUGAUGCAAAAUUUACAGCAAGUAUGAGGGCUGUUCUAAAAUACAGAGAGAGAGCUUCAAGCUUCAGAACUCUAGUUAACUGAAUUAAGCAGCUAUUUUGAUAUGUUUUAUCAAGUUAAUAUUUUGCCCACCCAUGUAGAAUUGACCAUUUACAUGCUCAAGGGUUCAUCUUUGUAAAUUACAUCCAAAGCUAGAAUGAAGGGCCAAAAAAGAAGUCUUCUGCCCUGCUGGAAUAGCAUGUGAGAGAAGUGGCUACUUUAAAGUCACUGAUGGACAAUAAAUUAUGCUGAGGUCACUUAUCUGAAGUGAGUGAGUAUUUAAAGGAAGAAUUUCCCAUUUCUUCCCAUUUCUUCCUUCCAUUUCAUACCGUUUGCUUCUGAAUCAGCUAGAGGUCAGGCUAAGAAAAGCUAUUUGUAGGCUUAAAACAAUAGUAAUAUUAAUAGUGAUAGUAAUAGUAAUAGUCAUAGUCAUAGUCAUAGUAAUAGUAGUAGUCAUAGUAAUAAUAAUAUUAAUAGUAGUAGUCAUAGUAUUAGUAGUAGUCAUAGUAAUAGUCAUAGUAGUAGUCAUAGUAAUAGUCAUAAUAAUAGUAAUAGUAGUAGUCAUAGUAAUAGUAAUAGUCAUAAUAAUAGUAAUAGUAGUAGUCAUAGUAAUAGUAAUAGUAGCAGUCAUAGUAAUAGUAAUAGUAGCAGUCAUAGUAAUAGUAAUAGUAGUAGUCAUAGUAAUAGUAAUAAUAGUAGUCAUAGUAAUAGUAAUAAUAAUAGUAAUAGUAGUAGUCACAGUAAUAGUAAUAGCAGUAGUCAUAGUAAUAGUAAUAGUAAUAGUAAUAGCAGUAGUCAUAGUAAUAGUAAUAGUAGUAGUCAUAGUAAUAGUCAUAGUAAUAAUAAUAAUAAUGCCAAUGAAAGCAGUCGUGGUUAUCGUUAAUGAUGCUACUAAGAAUGUGCUGGGCCCUAAAAACAGGAUAUAGAAUCUUUCUUAUAAACAUCCAUGCCUGAAGGAUAUAUUACUAUCCUCCCUUUGCUUAACAGGAAACAUGUUCCUUGACAGUAAGUACGGUUCCCAAGGUCAUACAUCUAACAAGUAGGCAUGUUAGGACUUAAACCCAGUCUUAAACUAAAGCCCAUCUCUUCCCCCUUCAUCACCCACCUACGACUUGUUUUCAUUAAGGGAAACGUUUAUUCGAUCAAAGCUAUCUUUCCUCCUUUUAACCUUAUCAAUUAAAAUUUAAAAAAUAAAAACACCAAAUUAUAUUAGAAAUAAAAAAGGAUAAAAGUGAUGAGUCCAUAAUAUCUGGUAGUAGGGAUUAACAGGCAGUUAGUAUAACGUAAGAUCACCACUAUUCUUCAAAGAAAGCAAUGUAAAGCAAAGAUUCAUUCCAAUGACAAAUUCAGGAGUUCCCUUGUGUCUUGGCUGCUUAAGAAUCGGGCACUGUCACUGCUAUGGCUCCUGGUUGUAGCUGUGGUGAGGAUUUGAUGCCUGGAUCUGCAUGUCCACAUGCCACAGGUAUGGUGAAAAAAAUUUAAAAAGUCAAAACCAACUCCUUUAUGUUUCAUAUGCAUCUUUUAAGGAAAAAAUAUAUACAAAGUAGAGGUUAAGAUAUAUCAUAAAGGCAUUCAGAAAUUUAAUACUGUGUAAAUUAAAAAUUGAGUCCAAACUUUUUAAGUUGACUAAUAUGAAAUCCUUUUAAGAUCAUGAGACCCCAAAACAUCAGGUUGAAUGUGACCUUAGUGGAUAUGAUACAGAAAAACAAAUAUCCUGUGAUCUAGUGAUUUUCAUGCUACCCAGUCAGAAUAAUUGCUUUGUUUCCCUAAUGACGACGUGUUGAGGAUAAGUUAUACCUAUUAAUUUCAUCUCUUACCACUCUAAAACAGCACCAUGCUUUUUUCCUUCAGAAUGAACUACUAUACCUUUUCAUCUUAUCAACCGCAUGUAUAUUUGCUUGAUUCCUUAAUAAAAAUCCCACCAUUUGCUGUUCGUUUUCACUGACAGCAAGUAAAAGUGGUGUAAGGUCAUCCUGUAAAACAGCAAAAACAAUUUGUAGUGUACAAGAGGACACAUUUCUAAAUGGAAUUUAAAACAUAGAAAAGAGUCUCUGAACUUAAAUGGAUACUACAGAAUGUCCAUAAAAAGGACCCCCUUCCUCCUCAGUGCUCCUUCUCUUUAAAAUUCUCCUCCUCUACCCCCUUGAAAGAUUAACUGCAAAGUCAGUCUCCAAAACUCACUUCCAAUAUUUCUGAGCAUUUUGCUUCUCUCACAGUAUUUUUCAGGUAGACCAUAAGUGUAGUUAUUUUCUUGCUCUACCAGGACUCUAAACAAUACUCCAAGAUAAUAACACAACAUAGCCCUUAAAUCAAUUGCAUUUUUAAGGAACAAUGCUGAGAAUGAUCUAAUGCUGUCUGCAGUAUGCCUAACCUAACCAAUGACUGCCAUGAUUAACCUAAGGUUGCUAGAUAUUCCAAAUGGAAUUGAUUCUUUACAUGUACAAGGAAAGAAAGAGAGUUCUUAAAAGCAGCUGAUGGAGCUCCUGCUGUGGUCCAGAGGGUUAAGGAUCGGGUGCUUUCUCUGAGACUGAGAGGGUUCCAUCCCCAGGCUAGCGCAGUGAGUUAGGAAUCCAGCAUUGCUGCAGCUAUGACCUAGGUUAUGGCUGCAGCUCAGAUUCCAUCCCUGGCCCAGGAGCUUCCAUAUGCCCCCAAACAAACAAGCAAGCAAGCAAACAAAAAAACAAAUAACAAUGUAUAAGUUCUAACUUCCCAUUCUUGAGAGAUAAUUGUAAAAUAAAAACUCAACUAUAAAUUAAUGUAGACAGGCAUUACAAUCUUCAAAUUUCUAUGAGAAGAAACUGUCCAAGAGGAAUUGUCAACUCCUAAAUGCUUCAGGAGGCAAAGUAGGUGACUCAAGUAUGUGAAGACCUCAGUGGAGCAGAGCACACAGGGAACUCAGGCCCCACCUGGAAGGGCUGGCCUCUGACUGCAAACCAAACAGUCCCAAGGGCUCAAGGGGGACCAGACUGAUGCUUUAAGAGCGGCCAGAAAUGCAGAUUUCUGCAUCCAUCUCCUAAAUGUUACAUGAUGGCCCAAUGAAUGGGUGGAGGCUGAGCCUUCCCA
ensembl:lncRNA